GCGUCAGUGGUUAAGUGGUAAAAUCCAUCGUUGCCAUCGAUGGGCCCCGCGUUCGAUUCGCGGCUGACGCA
rnacentral:tRNA from 1 species